ACGUAGGUGGCAAGCGUUGUCCGGAAUUAUUGGGCGUAAAGGGAGCGCAGGCGGGAAACUAAGCAGAUCUUAAAAGUGCGGGGCUCAACCCCGUGAUGGGGUCCGAACUGGUUUUCUUGAGUGCAGGAGAGGAAAGCGGAAUUCCCAGUGUAGCGGUGAAAUGCGUAGAUAUUGGGAAGAACACCAGUGGCGAAGGCGGCUUUCUGGACUGUAACUGACGCUGAGGCUCGAAAGCUAGGGUAGCGAACGG
rnacentral:rRNA from 1 species